UACAGUAUUUACACAUGUACUAUAAAUUUUACUUAAGAGAAUGUCCUCAAUGUGCAUACACUUAGUUAUAAAUAUCUCUAUUUUCUUGUUCUUUAUGGCUGAUUAGUACUUCAUUUUAUGAAAAAGAAACACAGCUUCUUUAUCCAGUCUCCUCAGUAACAAGGGAAUUAGCACAAAGAUCAACAACCGGGAUCUCAUCUUUUUCAAAAGCUUCUGCACUUCAAGAGAAACCACCAACAGAGCUAAGAGAUAACUACAAUGUGAGAAAAAACUUUUACCAGCUGUUCCUCAGACAAAGGUCUACUAAUCAGAAUAUAUAAAGAACUCAAAAAAAUCAGCCUCCCCCAAAUUUAAAUACCAUUCAAAAAUGAGCAUCUGAAAUAAACAGAUACUUCUCAAACAAAGAAGUAAAAGCAGCAAAUAAACAUAUGAAAAUAUGUUCAACAUCAUUGGUCAUUUGAGAGGUGCAGAUGAAAACAAAUUGCAAGAUUUUAUGGAGACCUUAUCUGCAGAGAAGGAGGAGAAAAAGGUGAAGGAACAUCUCCCUUCAGAUAGGAUCAAGGAGCUGUGUAAAAUGAGAGUUUUGCAAACCUCCCUCCUGCUUGGAGAGCCUUUGAACACAGCUGAGGCUGAGUGAAGACUGAGCCCCAGGCAAAGCCCCAUGCGCCCUUUGGUGAGCAAAGAUGAAGCUGUCUCCUGCUUCCUGCUGCAGCUUUGAGGGACUGAGACCAACGGAAGGCUUGCCCUAGGGCUGGCCCAGGCAGCCCAAAGGCCAUUGGUCAGAAGGCCCCCAGAUCAGCUCUUCAAAGAAACAACCUUUCACAUGAGACUUCUGAUGUUGGUGUCCCUCGCCUCAUUCCACAGCACUUUCAAAUCCAUCCUUUGCCCUCUUACAGGUGUGACAAUGACCAGCUUCAUGGGCCUGUGACGCAUGCAACUUUCUCCAGGCCCUGUGGCCAGAAGUGCCCACAUUAAGUUAAAAACAAUGCUGUUUCUAGCUUGAAAUUCCCCA
rnacentral:lncRNA from 1 species